AUUGAACGCUGGCGGCAUGCCUUACACAUGCAAGUCGAACGGUAACAGGUCUUCGGAUGCUGACGAGUGGCGAACGGGUGCGUAAUACAUCGGAACGUGCCUAGUAGUGGGGGAUAACUACUCGAAAGAGUGGCUAAUACCGCAUGAGAUCUACGGAUGAAAGCAGGGGAUCGCAAGACCUUGUGCUACUCGAGCGGCCGAUGGCAGAUUAGGUAGUUGGUGGGAGAAAAGCUUACCAAGCCGACGAUCUGUAGCUGGUCGGAGAGGACGAUCAGCCACACUGGGACUGAGACACGGCCCAGACUCCUACGGGAGGCAGCAGUGGGGAAUUUUGGACAAUGGGCGCAAGCCUGAUCCAGCAAUGCCGCGUGCAGGAUGAAGGCCUUCGGGUUGUAAACUGCUUUUGUACGGAACGAAAAGCCCUGGGUUAAUACCCUGGGGUCAUGACGGUACCGUAAGAAUAAGCACCGGCUAACUACGUGCCAGCCGCCGCCGUAAUAC
rnacentral:rRNA from 1 species